AUUGAACGCUGGCGGCAGGCCUAACACAUGCAAGUCGAACGGCAGCACAGAAGAGCUUGCUCUUUGGGUGGCGAGUGGCGGACGGGUGAGUAAUGUCUGGGAAACUGCCCGAUGGAGGGGGAUAACUACUGGAAACGGUAGCUAAUACCGCAUAACGUCGCGAGACCAAAGUGGGGGACCUUCGGGUCUCACACCACCGGAAGUGACCAGAUGGGAUUAGCUAGUAGGUGGGGUAAUGGCUCACCUAGGCGACGAUCCCUAGCUGGUCUGAGAGGAUGACCAGCCACACUGAAACUGAGACACGGUCCAGACUCCUACGGGAGGCAGCAGUGGGGAAUAUUGCACAAUGGGCGCAAGCCUGAUACAGCCAUGCCGCGUGUAUGAAGAAGGCCUUCGGGUUGUAAAGUACUUUCAGCGGGGAGGAAGGCGGUGAGGUUAAUAACCUCGCCGAUUGACGUUACCCGCAGAAGAAGCACCGGCUAACUCCGUGCCAGCCGCCGCCGUAA
rnacentral:rRNA from 1 species